AGUGAAUGUCCCUGUGUCACUGUGUUAGUGUGCCAGCACUGACCCACAAAGAGAAUACAGGAUGGUCCUAUUAAUGUUCUUCCCAUCUUUGUCAUCUGUGAUGGCUCCUCAAAAUCCCUCCUUGGCCUUCAGAUUCACACCAUGGAAAAUAUUUUAAAAUCCAAUUUUUAAAGCAAAUUAUUUUUUAAAGUGAAGCAAAUGUGGUGCAGAUGAGAACAGCUGGAAAGUCCAGUCUGUAAAGAAGUACAGCGUGGCUGCUGCUUAUCACCAUGUUCUCUGCUGAUACAGCUCAGGCCUGCUUUGCACCAAGAGCUCCCAUGUCGGGUCAGAGUAUCUACAGACCUGUUGUUCACAGUGACGUAUUUGGCUCCACAGCCUUUGCUGGUGGACCUCAGUCUGGGAUGAGACUUUUUGCUGAUUAUCCGUUUGAGUUCAUUCUUGGAGAUUUCAUUUUAUUACUGUUUAGGGAGGUUUGUUUUGCUGCUUAUCAAUGGGUAAGUUAAACAACUCCAGUGUAAAGCCUGUGAUUGCUGCCAUUUAUGGUGUUCUGACUCAGUUUCAGGCUUUUCGAGGAAACUGAAAAUGGGGCAGGAAUUGUGAUUGUUGUUCAAGAUAGAGAGGCUUGCAAUGGUGUAUUGCAAAUAAUGACUGUUGUACAUGGUUUACUCAUUUGGGUGUUUAUCCUAUGAGUCUCUUGGCUUGGUUUAAUAGAAUUAGGCAAGCAAUUGUUGGAGGGGAUCCAGUGAACCACUGCCUCACCCAGUCAUGAUUUCAAGGUUAAGACAAUGUCAGAGCUGUCUGCUGUGAGAACCUGGUGAUGAAACUCCAGCAUUGUCAGUGGUAUUUUCAGUUGUGCAGUGGCACCAUUGGGAAUGAGAUUAUGGGCGACCAGAAAGACUUAUUUAUUCAGCUGUUAUUUCAUGUUUUGUUUUCUCUGUGAGGCUUUUGGCCUGUGUCAUUGGUGUAGUUCAGUGGAAACCACAGGUCACACUGUGCUUUGGUGUGAGGCUGUGAUCACAGUUGUGAUCCUCUGCAGUGAGGAGGUCCUAUGGAAACCUGUGGUGCCUCCCUGCUGGCUGACAUGCCAAGAGAGCCUUUCUCUGGAAACCAGAGUGCAAACUGGUCUCAUCCUGAUAUGCAGUCAGGACAUAGGUCUCUGAGUCUUACAGUAUAGAUGUUGCAUUUAUUUACCUUGAGGCAGAUCUCCGGAAGGAACAGCUGCCAAGCCCAGUUAAAACUUUCCCAUUAGUAGGUACAGGAUGCUCCAAAUCUGGGCAUGUUUUAAAAAAUGCAGACUUGGCAAGUGCCAGAAGAGAUCUGCUUUUCAUGGUGGACUCACAGAGACCAGAGAGGAAGCAGCAGUUCAUGUUUGGCCUUGCAACACGACAGACUGCACCUGUGAGAGCUCUGAAGGGGGAAGAGCUACUACCAGGCAUGCCUGGGUUCUUUGAAGUAGGAGUGGUUGAAGGCACUGCUUUUCAAGGCCGUUCACUCCUGUUGUGUCAGACAGGUCAUUAACAAUGGCUUUGCACCACCAGCUCAAAAGUUGUACAGCAGUCCAGGAGAUGGGAAAAUGGAAGAAUUCUUGUGUUCACAAAUGUCUUUUAAUAUCCCUGUGUAUGCUGAGGUGUAGCUGUGAGCCUACUCCUUUUGCUACCACACUUUUUGCGUGUUGGGGACAAGGAAGCAGAUGGAUGGAUCCUCAGAGGAUGUGAUUUAUGAGUAUGGUUUUGAUGUUCUAGCGGAAACGUAGGGCAGUUUAACUGAUUACUUCAGUUCUCUCUGUUUUUUACUUCCUCUAUUUAGUUUGGGGAACAAGUAAUGAUGAGAAUGGAUCUUCUAGAGCCUUAAAAUGCUCCUAUAGAGGAAGAAAUAUUAAUGUAGUGGUUUAGGUCUGCAGAUACUACAGAUAGAAAAGAUAAUGCAAAUACAAAAAUUCUUGUCAGACUAAUAUCAGACAAAUAUCAAUACAGAACUGGCAGCCUAAGUCAGUGAAACUUUUUCUCACCUGUAGACAUUUAAACAGUUGGCUGUAAUCUGUUGGAUUCCAUCAGAAUGGAAAUGGGGAUGUUCUGAAAUUUACCAGUGUACAGGAUUCAUGUUCUGGUACAUCUCGAUACAACAAUGUCAUAUACAGGUCUGUUCUAACCACUUUUUGGCAGCUAGCAACCUUCUGGCAGCUAGCAUCUUCCAAGUGACAUCUAUUUUUCAAAACAAAAUUGAAAUUCAAAAUUGAAAUGCAGACAAAGUUUAUUUUUUUAUUUUAUAGGCUUUUGAUAUGAGAGGAGGCGAGUUACAUACUGUGGUAUUCUUAAGGCUCAUACGAGCUAGCCAGAGAUUAUGAACUAUCUUACUGAAAAAUCUGUUCCCUUUUGAGUUAAAAAUCUAAAAUCCACGGAGGACAUAAAAAGUCCUUCUUGUUAAGAGUUUCUCUGCAAAAUUGACAUCAUGAAUUGCCUAAUUUUUAGAUGAAAGACCCUUUGAUAACACCAGUUUACGUGAUCCAUGCUCAUGUUAUUGUUGGACAACAUUUUGGAUAUGUUUAAUGUGUCAUGCUCAACAAAAGUUUUUGAAAGACCUUUUCUGUCCUCAGCAUGGAAAAGUUUUUUCACUUCCUUUUCUUCCACCAAGCUUAUUUUCCCAGCACUUAUCAUCUCUCAUUAUGUCUUAUCUUUCUUCUGGAUAAGAUUGUUUUCCCAAUUCAUACACAGAAGCCCAGUUAACUUCUGAGUGCAAUCUUUCCAUGCCAUGGUACGCAGAGGUUCAGAGAUAACUCUGUUUGCUUGGGUAAUGUUGGUGAAUAGAACACAAUGCAAUUUUUAAACCUUUUUCUGGAAGGAAAAGAAAAGACUUUGUAUACCUCUGGAGAAUGGAAGUAAAUUACAUUCUUCUAUUAUGUAUGUGAAUCUGAUUAUGGGAAUGGUGGAAUUAAUUUAUCUGGUUAUAAAGAACAUGGCUUCUUCUAAAAUGCACAUGAUUAUUUUUAGUUUUGUUGAUUUUAGCUGGAUUGUAGAUGUUUCUCAGUGUAUAUUACAACUGCAUAUUGUUUUCUGAGACAGAGUGAAUGCAGCACUAGAAAGCAAUUAUGGAACUAAUAUAUUUCCCUGAAAUGUACUUUGUGAUGCAGGAUUUUACUCAUGUUUCUAAAAAUUACUUAAACUUCUGCCUAAAUUAUCCUUGUAUCACAAAUAUCACUUAAAUCAAUUUAUCCUGAAGAGGCCAUCUUGGUAAGGAGAAGUAUUCCAUUAUUGACAAAAAUAACUUGCCUUCCAUAAUAAUGGUUUUCCCCAGGUCCAAAAUGUUUUUUCAGCAAGGAGUGUAAUGCUUACCUAUUCUGUGCACUGGGGCACCUGCACUGUGUGCCACAAAGAACAGCAAGAGCAUGUUUUUUGGCACUGAAACACCCAAGCAACAAAGCAGAGAGUCAUCAUACAAAAGUAAGCUCUUCAAACAAGCCCUUUGUCACCCAGCUUCCUCGUGAAUUUUUUGUAGGAGUCAAUUUUCCUUUUUCUCCUUGUACCACAUGUUGCCACAGUCUCAACUGCAAGAAUGAUCAGAGACCUAUAAACAUGAUCUAAGAGGAGAGAUUGAAAGAAUUGGGGUGGUUUAGUCUGAAGAAAAGGAAGGUGUUGGGAAAAAUGGUAAUGAUCUUUCAAAAUGUGAAUUGUUUCUCUGCAGAGAGGAGGAGUAAGUUUUUCUUUAUGUUCAGUGGGUCUAGGGCAAGAGGUGAUGCACUUGGAGAUUUAAAGCAGACAUUAGGAAAUUAUUUCAAACUGCAAAUGUAGUUUGGCACUGAAAAUGAUUAUCUGGGAAUCUCAUUUGCUGAAGCCUUUGGAAGGCGGAUGAGGUCACGUGUCUCAGGCAUGGUUUUAGUUGCAGUAGAUUAUUGGAGAUAACCCCAAAAGGUUCCUGGCUGGUUUAUGGUGUUUUGUUUCUCUCAGGUGAUUUACAGCAGAUGUUUUACUGCUGGGUUAUUUUGAUUCUCACGCUUCCUUAUAUCCUUAGAAAAUGCCAGUAAGAAAAUAUGUCAGUAGGUAAAAAAUUGGGUAAGUAGAGUGGGUGGUGACAUUCCCAAUAGUAGAAUAUUAAGAAAUCACAGUUCCUGCAGGAAAGCUGGUAUGUUUGAGCAGAGUGUGACAUGCUGACAUGUCGUCCUGACAGGCUUUGGGACACAAGUAUUGGGCUGGCUUUCAACAAGUGGUGGAUAGUCAAUACACAGAAAUCUAUGCUUUAACUAAUCUUUUAAAUUUUAUUUUAAUUUUAACUUUUAAUAGAAGCAUUUGUCUUUCUUCACUUUUUGCUGUGUUUAAGUAUUUCCUGAAUUUGCAAGGAGUGAGCUCUAUCCACAACUUAUCAGGGGCCAGUUCAUUAGCCUUUUUGUUCCUCCAGUUCUCUGCAACAGUAAGGUACUAUCCAAAAUGCUUGUACCUCUUUGAAAGUGAAUUGAUGAGUUAAUUGUUUGUUCAAGUUAAAUAUGCAUUCUGCCGCACAUCUUAAAACACCUCUUAUUCACCUUCUCUGUAGUCUUCCUAUUUUUCUGAUUUUCACCAUUCUUCCUGUAGCCUAAAAAUCUCUAUUUUCUUCCUGUAUGUAACUGUAGGUCUUCUUUUAACAGAGUGUUAAAAUGACACUUGGAAGGAUUCAUGAGAACCUAGGGAGUGUGACCUUCUGUCAGACAACUCUGCCCAAGUCCAAGAUCACCCAUGUCUUUGUCAUUCCUUGACAGAAAACUGUUGAAACUCUUUCUGGAUACUGAAUGAUGGCUACAGCCCAGUCCCUUUGUGCAGAGCUGUGGUAGUGCCACAUUGCUGUGACCCCAGUGCAUUCAGUCACCAUCAUAGGAUCCACUUCCCCAGGGAUGGAUCCUGGUCCCUGUGCCAUAUCAGCCAGGUAAGGAGAGGGACAGGUCCCUGCUGUCACCAAAGAUAACCCAAAUGUCUGCUGAGCCUCAUCCAAAAAGGUUCACUAAUUUACAGUUCCUUAUGGCAAGACACUUCUGCUAUUAAUGUCGUGAACAUUUUAAGAUGUUGUCAGACAAUAAUUGCUAUCACAACUUUUAAUUCUGUGUUUCUGUUUCAAAUUUUCCUCAGUUCAAUCAGAACCAAAAGUUAAUGCCCAUUGGCUAAUUUCCAGUGCAUGCCUCCACAGAACAACUGCUGCGUUUAACUGGUGGAGAGAUCGAGGCUUGAACUGACAAAAGACAUCUGUAUUUUGGAAAACAAAUUAAUGUUUAUGUUUUAAUUUAUAAGUUCCUGGCUCUUUUAUGGUUCCUGUUUUUCAAGUAAUGUCUCUUUGGAUCCCUAGAUGAUGGAGAGUCAAAAUGGAAAAGGCCCAUGAGAGAAUUAUCACAACAGAACAUCUGGUCUGUGUUGGAAAAAGCUGAGAAAGAUAUUCAACAUCUCUGAGACCAAGAGGCAGCUAUGAGGCAGUUUGAAAGUCAGUCCAUGAAAAAUUGUGCAGGUUGUGGCCACCUGGGCCAAUCUAGUGUUGUUUUGGGAAGUGUUACUCUGCUCCAGAGCAUCUGAAUUUCAAUCUCCCUUAAGCAUGGGUAUGUGAGAGCUGGGAGUGGUGUGAAAGGUGUUUGCUUUCCAUUAUGUUAAUCUGAGUCCCAGCAUUGUCCUAAUUAUGUUGUGGGGUUUUGCCAGUCUCCUGGAUUUCUUUUGAGCAUGUAGGCUGCAGUCAAAAGGCUUUCCCAGGGCUUUUGGCAUAGCUUUACAGGAAAGUGGAUGGAAAGGACUUUGUAUAUUUUUGGAAGAAUAUUUUGCAUCCUGCUUUAAACUGUUCCAGAAGGUAAAAGGACAUUAGCUAGACAGUGUAUUGGCUCAUGUGCUGCUAUGUCACUAAUGGCAAGGAGUUUUAUUCCUGUUUUCUGCAGUCACAGACUGUAAGAAAAGCAAAGAAAUCAUGGACCAACCAGGGCAGUAAAGGUACCCCUGGAUUCAGAGGGAACAAACUCCUUCCACCACAUGGAACUUUGGUCCUUUAAGUCAUUAUAGCUCAUGCAGAGCAGAAACAAUUUGACAUGUAUUACAAGAAACAUUGCAAAUUGUUUGCCAAAGAAAGACUUUACACUGCAGAUGGAAGAACUGAUGAAAAUUGUUUAUAGAUGGGGAACUAACUGUAGAUUUUUCAAGAACAAGGUUGCUCUCUUCCUUGCCAAGACAAACAAAUCUAAUAGACCAUCUCAUUGCUUUAGGCUGCCUGAGGACCCACUGGAAAGUGUAUGGACCUUUUUCCACAGAAAAUUUGUGUAUUGUCAAUACAUCAGUGUAUUGUCCACAGUUACACUGUGGCAGCUGCAGAGGAAGUGGAAGGUUCUCAGGAAUACGUUAGGGAGAACUGGAUUUUUGGCUUCUGAAACAGUGUGGAGUGCUUUUGGAAACUGGAAGUUUAUAAGCUGGAUAUUACUGCUACAAAAGGUUAUCUGUGAGUUAAACAUAAUAGUAAUUAAUCUGCUAUCUUUUAACACUAACAACACAAUGAAAUUGAGAAUGCCUGUCUUCUAGAAUUGCAGUUUCCAAGAUGGCUUCAUUCCUGAGAAGAUACCCUGGUCUGCACUUCAAGAUUUUCAGCAUUACCUUUAGAAAUCUCUGCACAGAUGUUUUUACAAAGCACUGUGUAAUCAUCCCAAACAACUGGUUUUAAUGGGCCAGUUAUUUAGGAAAUCAUGUAAUGAGAACAUAAAUACAAUCCCUGAUACUGACAUAAAACAUGUAUUAGGAAAAUAAUGUAGUUUGUAUUUCCCUGAUAUAGAACAGACCCUGGAAAUACAUAACUCAUCAUGUUCUUAAAAUUCUAUUAUAUCUGUAAACUUAUAUAUUGGCAGAGAGGCCCAGCAGCAUCCUGGGCUGCAUUAGGAAGAGCAUUGCUAGGAAGUCAAAGGAGGUGAUUAUUCCCCUUUCCCCCACACUGGUGAGACUUCAGUGGAAGUGCUGUGCCCCGUUCUGGGCUCCCCACAGCAGGAAGGACAUGGACAGGCUGGAGUGAAUGCAGGAAAGGGCCAUGAGGAUGGAUAAGAAGAGCAUCUGUCCUGUGGCUGCCCAGGAAGGUUUUGAAGUUGACAUCGUUGAAGAAACUCCAAACCCAACUGAGCAAGGUCCCGAGCACCCUGCCCUGGUUGAUCCAGCUUUGAGCUGGGCUUGGACUGAGUGAUCUCCGGAGAUGCUUCCAGACUGGGAAUAUUUGAGGCAGUUUGCUUGGGCCUUGUCAGUGUUUUAGCUGGAACUUGACUGUGGAGGAAUCCUAAGAAGAGCAAAGGCUGUGACCCUAGAAAUUCAUCCAGAUGGCUGAGGCCCAGAAAAGGCAUAAUGGGAGCUGCUAAGUAUUCUGAAUGUCUCAUCAGAGUGAUAUUUCACUUGAAAAUACAAAACAGAAAUUACUUGGGUCUUAAUGACACUGAAUACCCAUAAUAUUCUCUCACUUCAGCUGGACUGCAGAUGGUAACAACCUCUCUCUAUCUGAACACACUUAUUUUAGUUUAAUCUUGCUCUGUAAAAUCUUACCAUAUACUUUACUCUAGAAAUUAUUACUUGGUGCUUUAUGAUUCAGAAUUUAUUUGUUGGUUUGUUCCACCCUUUCUUUCCAUACCAGUACUAAUAUUAACAAAUUACAAUGUAUUUUGACAUAUUUCUUCAGUAAUAAGCACAUACUAUGUCUCAAGGAGUAGAGAAUAUCAUAAUUUGAGCAAGGUAAAAUCAAAAUAUAUAAUUACGUUGCAUAUUGUAUGGCACUUAGUUUGUAACUAUUCUUACAGCACCUUCUGAAUAAGAGGAAAGAUGAAAUUCAGAAAGGGCUUUCAUAGUUUAAAAAAAUUUAUGUUGAAACAAGAUUUAUGUUGAAAGGCAAAGAUAAUGUAUUUUUUUUUUAAAUCAGCUGAAUAGUGGUGGGAAGAUUCACCUGUGGUUUUUCAUCAUGAAAAUGCCAAGGAACUAACUUGCAGUAUUGAAAAUUCCCAGAUCCUCCUUCUUUUGAAAAUUCUUUGUCUUAUAUAUUGCCUCUAAGGAAAAAGGAAAGCAUGCUGGAAAACAAGAAAUUGAGCAACACUGCACAAGUAAUUAGGAAAUAAAUAUAUUAUAAAGCAUUUGAUUUUGGUCUGGUUUUGCACUUCAUCAAAUGAAACAGUACAAUGCUGCUGUUUGCACAGGAAGGACACCAGGUGCAACAAGAGUAGUGUCUGCUCUAGAGUGAAGGAUGAGCUCCACUGGAGAUGAGUUGGCUUCCCUGGCUGCAGUGCUCAGUAUUUCAUUUUAGCAAGUCUGAGAUUGGUCCAAGUGUUCAUCAUCUCCUGUGCUUUAUGCUAGUGCAAAUGCCAGGUUGUAUGAAGUUACUUACUGAAGAGAGAGAAGUAGAAAAUGCAAUUCUAUGUUUUAUUUCAUGCUCCCCAAGUUUGCUCAGACAGGCACACCCAGAGUGAAUAUGUGCUGCACUGAACUUGGAGAUCUUGUGUUAUAAAUUCUGGCUCCCCUGUGCUUUCCUGCUUUGCCCAUAGAGCAGAUAAGAGAGUUCAUAACAGGAACACCCUGUUACCUCAGCUGCAAAAGGUUCUGAGAAUCUAAUGGCCAAGAGAGUGGAAUUUAAAUUUAUUUUUGUUUGGUUUGUGUUUCAGCAAGCAUUUAAAAGAUCCACCAGUUUAUCUUUGUCAGAUUGUUUUUCUUUUGGCUUAGUUUGGCCACCAAUCUCACUGUUGAGUUUACAUUUAUGGAAUAGGACCCAAGGUUUUCUCCAUGUGUUCAGUAUUAUGAUUCUGACUUUGCAAGUCUUGUUGCUUGGGAUAGGUGUACAAGUCAUGUCUGCAUGUACAGCAAGAGCAGAACUGGGGUUUGGAUGCUGCUACUUAGUCAAUUGAGAAGGAACAAAAGUAGUUUUGAAGGCUGCCACUCCUCCUGGCUGGCAGGCAAAAGAGUUGGUAAAAGCUGCAAAGACAACUGAGCACCCUAAUGAUGGUAUUAUACAUUUUAUUUCAUAGGUGGAUUUUGAGGAAUAGUUUUUAAAGUGUAGUUAUUUUACUCUCCUUUAGCAAGCCAUGUGUGACCAUAGCUGUUUUUCCAAAAUGCCUGGUUUAGUUGCUUUUUUGCCACCAGUCAAAUUCUCACUCCACGUGGUAAUGUCCACAAGGUGGUGCCACAGCUAAGAAGUUUGCAACAAAUAAGGCAAAAAUGAUUUGAUAAUUCUACCUUCUUUUUGUGGCUGACUAAAGUAUCUGCAUCAUUAAAGAAUUUAUAAUUAUUUCAUAAGCACAAUAUCACAGGUUUGCAAGCUCUUUUUUUAGACCACUUGUGUGAGCAGAGGUGGAUCUGUCUGCUGAGCGAGAGCAACAUCCACACAGCUGUGGCUGUCCCAAAUCCUGUACAAAAAUGAAGAGGUAGCUCAGAGUUUAGCAGACAGGCUGAUGAAGAGCUGUGUAUUUCCUAGCAGGGUUACCUGUGCCAGCACUGGGAUCUGUCUUAUGUUUGUCUGGGUCACUUCAGCAGGAAUCAGCCUGGAUCCUGACAAGCAAGUUCAUCCACAACUUCAGCCAAGAGAGCUUCCAGUUACCUUAGAGUGGCUAUGACACAUCAGAUCCGAAUUUCCUGAGGAUAAUCCAGGGAUUUCUAGAUCCGGGGAUAUCCAGGCUCCCUGUCCUCUGCUAAUGUACAGUUGACUAUUAAUUCCAAAGGGGUAUGAAGUGCUUUCAGAGGGACCUGCACAGAUGAUCGGGUUUAUGAGCAUCUUUCUAGAAAAGAUCAGACUAGGGAAAGUACAAGGCAGUAACAGGGAAUGUAAGAUGUCAAAUGUACCAUCCAGUAAAGAAAAGACAAUAAAACUUCCAGGAAAAAUUUGUUUGUAUGGAUCUGAAUGACUACACUACUUUGUAGCAGAGCAGAAGACCUGAAGUGCAGAAGGAUUUGGCUAUUCCCCUCAGAAUGUGUGUGUCAGUUCUUCAGCUACCCUUGGCCCCAUGGUGCUUCUUGCACCCUGCCCUGCUCCCCUCAGGGACCUCUGCAACCCAGGUAUGCAUGCUAGCACAAGAAAUACUCCCUGUCAGCUUCUGCAGUGGAGAAAUUAAAUUUGAAUCAUUUAUUCAUCACAUAAUUUUGUACCAAAAACAGCAAGAAAAAUGGAUCAUUUAAAAUACCAUUCAGACAAGCACUGCAUUGACUUCCCCCUGGCUGGAAUCUCUCUUUGGUAUGGUAGGCCUGUAUCAGAGAAAAAUAACAGGGUUUGCAUAAUAUGUUUCCUCUAAAUUGCUAAAUUAUUAUUUUAAAACAUACUAAAAUUCUUCUGGCUUGUAAGAGACUCAGUGGAAAUUAUAUAUAGCCAGGAAAGAUGGUUUAUCUCCCAGUUAUAAAGUAGAAUGAGAGUUAGAAGCUUAUUGAGUCCCAUUUUAAAAGCUGUCAAAUAACACAACAGCCACCUACAUGGUUUUUUAAGGAUCAUAUUUAUAAAUUAUAUUUUAAAGUGAUUUACAGUAUUUUGAAACUUUGUAUUGGUUCCAACAUCUGUUUAGAAAAAUCAGUAUCUAAUCUGAGAACUAACUGAAAAUGUAAAGUCAUGAGCAGGUCAAGUAGAUUUAAUUUAUGAGUCAGUCUGUUGAGUUAGCUUGUAAUAACUGAAUCAUGACAGUGACAUUGUCAGAGUAUUCCUGUAAGCUUGUUCGGAGUGUAUGGCUGCAAUGUGUCUUGCAAUUAAAAUAAUAUAUUUCUGGUUUAGUUUGGAUUUUGCUUUUUCUUUGACUUUGCAAAAUUAUUUCAAAAUUGUUUAUUUUUCAGAUAUUUUGCACAAAGAAAAAAACUAUAUUCUAAAGAGAGGAAAUGGCAGAGUAUCUAAGAUCAUACAUCUAAGUGUCCAUAGUGUGAAAACCCCAGGCAAUCAUGAACAAAACCUGCUUCAGCUCUAUGCCUGAAAUCUUACUGGGAGGAGGUAACUUGCAGUGUUGUAAGUUAGGAGUCAGUGUGAGCACGGCUCAGAAAUCCUCCUGCAGAUGCACGGCGCUCACCGGAAACAAUUGAGAAUGGCAGUGGUAUCCUGCAGGAUGUGUGCGACGUGCUCAGCAGGGGCUUGAUUUACACAGGGCCACAUUAUAGAUUAUACAUUCUGG